UUCUGCUGCAGGGAAGCCUGGUCCCGCCUA
rnacentral:piRNA from 1 species